rnacentral:rRNA from 1 species
AUUGAACGCUGGCGGCAGGCUUAACACAUGCAAGUCGAACGGUAACAUAAAGGAGCUUGCUUCUUUGAUGACGAGUGGCGGACGGGUGAGUAAUGCUUGGGAAUCUAGCUUAUGGAGGGGGAUAACUACGGGAAACUGUAGCUAAUACCGCGUAGAAUCGGGAGAUGAAAGUGUGGGACCUUCGGGCCACAUGCCAUAGGAUGAGCCCAAGUGGGAUUAGGUAGUUGGUGAGGUAAAGGCUCACCAAGCCGACGAUCUCUAGCUGGUCUGAGAGGAUGACCAGCCACACUGGGACUGAGACACGGCCCAGACUCCUACGGGAGGCAGCAGUGGGGAAUAUUGCGCAAUGGGGGCAACCCUGACGCAGCCAUGCCGCGUGAAUGAAGAAGGCCUUCGGGUUGUAAAGUUCUUUCGGUAGCGAGGAAGGCAUUUAGUUUAAUAGACUAGGCGA